rnacentral:rRNA from 1 species
GCAGUCGUACGGAAAGGCCCUCUUCGGAGGGUACUCGAGUGGCGCACGGGUGAGUAACGCGUGGGUAAUCUGCCUUCGGGUUUGGGACAACUCCGGGAAACUGGAGCUAAUACCGGAUGAGCCCACGAACUCUUCGGAGUUCGGGGGGAAAGAUGGCCUCUCCUUGGAAGCUAUCGCCCGAAGAUGAGCCUGCGUCCCAUUAGCUAGUUGGUGAGGUAACGGCUCACCAAGGCUCCGAUGGGUAGCUGGUCUGAGAGGAUGAUCAGCCACACUGGAACUGAGACACGGUCCAGACUCCUACGGGAGGCAGCAGUCGGGAAUCUUGGGCAAUGGGGGAACCCUGACCCAGCAACGCCGCGUGAGGGAUGAAGGCCCUCGGGUCGUAAACCUCUGUCGGGAGGGAAGAAUCCAUUCGGGUGAACAAUCCGGGUGGUUGACGGUACCUCCAAAGGAAGCACCGGCUAACUCCGUGCCAGCAGCCGCGGUAAUACGGAGGGUGCGAGCGUUGUUCGGAAUCAUUGGGCGUAAUGCGCAUGUAGGCGGCUUGGUAAGUCGGGUGUGAAAUCCCGGGGCCCAACCCCGGAACUGCAUUCGAUACUGCCUCGCUCGAGUCCCGGAGAGGAGAGCGGAAUUCCCGGUGUAGAGGUGAAAUUCGUAGAUAUCGGGAGGAACACCAGUGGCGAAGGCGGCUCUCUGGACGGUGACUGACGCUGAGAUGCGAA